AUUGAACGCUGGCGGCAUGCUUUACACAUGCAAGUCGAACGGUAACAGGUCUUCGGAUGCUGACGAGUGGCGAACGGGUGAGUAAUGUAUCGGAACGUGCCCAGUAGUGGGGGAUAACUACUCGAAAGAGUGGCUAAUACCGCAUGAGAACUGAGGUUGAAAGCGGGGGACCUUCGGGCCUCGCGCUACUGGAGCGGCCGAUAUCAGAUUAGGUAGUUGGUGGGGUAAAGGCCUACCAAGCCGACGAUCUGUAGCUGGUCUGAGAGGACGACCAGCCACACUGGGACUGAGACACGGCCCAGACUCCUACGGGAGGCAGCAGUGGGGAAUUUUGGACAAUGGACGCAAGUCUGAUCCAGCAAUGCCGCGUGCAGGACGAAGGCCUUCGGGUUGUAAACUGCUUUUGUACAGAACGAAAAGGCUCUGGUUAAUACCUGGGGCUCAUGACGGUACUGUAAGAAUAAGCACCGGCUAACUA
rnacentral:rRNA from 1 species